rnacentral:rRNA from 1 species
GACGAACGCUGGCGGCGUGCUUAACACAUGCAAGUCGAGCGAUGAAAGCCUUAUGAACCAUUCGUAGUGAUUGGGGCCGGAUUAGCGGCGGACGGGUGAAUAACGCGUGAGCAACCUGCCUUAAACAACGGGAUAGCCUCGGGAAACCGGGAUUAAUACCGUAUGAGACCCCGCCUUCACAUGAAGAAGAGGUUAAAGAUUUAUCGGUUUAAGAUGGGCUCGCGUCUGAUUAGCUAGUUGGUGAAAUAAAAGCCCACCAAGGCAACGAUCAGUAACCGGCUUGAGAGAGUGAGCGGUAAAAUUGGAACUGAGACACGGUCCAAACUCCUACGGGAGGCAGCGGUGGGGAAUAUUGCACAAUGGGGGAAACCCUGAUGCAGCGACGCAGCGUGAGCGAUGAAGGAAUUCGUUUCGUAAAGCUCUGUCCAAGGGGAAGAUAAUGACAGUACCCUUGGAGGAAGCCCCGGCUAAAUACGUGCCAGCCGCCGCCGUAA